rnacentral:rRNA from 1 species
UACGUAGGGAGCAAGCGUUGUUCGGAUUUACUGGGCGUAAAGGGCGCGUAGGCGGCAGAUCAAGUCAGUUGUGAAAUCUCUGAGCUUAACUCAGAACUGUCAACUGAUACUGCUCUGCUAGAGUGCGGAAGGGGCAAUCGGAAUUCUUGGUGUAGCGGUGAAAUGCGUAGAUAUCAGGAAGAACACCAAUGGCGAAGGCAGCUCUCCGGGACGGUACUGACGCUGAGACGCGAAAGCGUGGGGAGCGAACAGG